AUUGAACGCUGGCGGCAUGCCUAACACAUGCAAGUCGAGCGGAUGAAGGGAGCUUGCUCCUGGAUUCAGCGUCGGACGGGUGAGUAAUGCCUAGGAAUCUGCCUGGUAGUGGGGGAUAACGUCCGGAAACGGGCGCUAAUUCCUCAUACGUCCUGAGGGAGAAAGUGGGGGAUCUUCGGACCUCACGCUAUCAGAUGACCCUCGGUCGGAUUAGCUAGUUGGUGGGGUAAAGGCCUACCAAGGCGACGAUCCUUAACUGGUUUGAGAGGAUGAUCAGUAAAACUGGAACGGAGAAAAGGUCCCGAUCACUACGGGAGGCAGCAGUGGGGAAUAUUGGACAAUGAGGGAAAGCCGGAUCAAGCAAUGCCGCGUGUGUGAAGAAGGUCUUCGGAUGGUAAAGCACUUUAAGUUGGGAGGAAGGGCAGUAAGUUAAUACCUUGCUGUUUUGACGUUACCAACAGAAUAAGCACCGGCUAACUUCGUG
rnacentral:rRNA from 1 species